rnacentral:rRNA from 1 species
UCUGGUAAUGAUGGCGGAGGGGAUCCACUCGUUCCCAUCCCGAACACGACCGUUAAGCCCUCCAGCGCCGAUGGUACUAUAGGACGACCUAUGGGAGAGUAGGACGUUGCCAGGC